rnacentral:tRNA from 1 species
GCGAAGGUGGCGGAAUUGGUAGACGCGCUAGCUUCAGGUGUUAGUGUCCUUACGGACGUGAGGGUUCAAGUCCCCCCCCCUCGCACCA